rnacentral:rRNA from 1 species
AUAGCCUCGGGAAACUGAGAGUAAUACCGUAUGUGCCCUUCGGGGGAAAGAUUUAUCGCCAAAGGAUUGGCCCGCGUUUGGAUUAGGUAGUUGGUGGGGUAAUGGCCUACCAAGCCGACGAUCCAUAGCUGGUUUGAGAGGAUGAUCAGCAACACUGGGACUGAGACACGGCCCAGACUCCUACGGGAGGCAGCAGUGGGGAAUCUUAGACAAUGGGCGAAAGCCUGAUCUAGCCAUGCCGCGUGGACGAUGAAGGCCUUAGGGUUGUAAAGUCCUUUCAGAUGGGAAGAUAAUGACGGUACCAUCAGAAGAAGCCCCGGCUAACUCCGUG